rnacentral:rRNA from 1 species
GACGAACGCUGGCGGCGUGCUUAACACAUGCAAGUCGAACGGAAAGGCCCUGCUUUUGUGGGGUGCUCGAGUGGCGAACGGGUGAGUAACACGUGAGUAACCUGCCCUUGACUUUGGGAUAACUUCAGGAAACUGGGGCUAAUACCGGAUAGGAGCUCCUGCUGCAUGGUGGGGGUUGGAAAGUUUCGGCGGUUGGGGAUGGACUCGCGGCUUAUCAGCUUGUUGGUGGGGUAGUGGAUUACCAAGGCUUUGACGGGUAGCCGGCCUGAGAGGGUGACCGGCCACAUUGGGACUGAGAUACGGCCCAGACUCCUACGGGAGGCAGCAGUGGGGAAUAUUGCACAAUGGGCGGAAGCCUGAUGCAGCAACGCCGCGUGCGGGAUGACGGCCUUCGGGUUGUAAACCGCUUCCGCCUGUGACGAAGCGUGAGUGACGGUAAUGGGUAAAGAAGCACCGGCUAACUACGUG